GGAAAGCUGGCAGAGUGGUUUAUCGCACCUGUUUGCUAAACAGGUUAACCGUAAGGUUACAAGGGUUCGAAUCCCUUGCUUUCCGCAA
rnacentral:tRNA from 1 species